rnacentral:rRNA from 1 species
GUGCCAGCCGCCGCGGUAAUACGUAGGUGGCAAGCGUUGUCCGGAUUUAUUGGGUUUAAAGGGUGCGUAGGCGGCCCUGUAAGUCAGUGCUGAAAUAUCCCGGCUUAACCGGGAGGGUGGCAUUGAUACUGCGGGGCUAGAGUACAGAUGAGGUAGGCGGAAUUGACGGUGUAGCGGUGAAAUGCUUAGAUAUCGUCAAGAACACCUAUAGCGAAGGCAGCUUACUAGGCUGUAACUGACGCUGAGGCACGAAAGUGUGGGGAUCAAACAGGAUUAGAAACCCGAGUAGUCC